rnacentral:rRNA from 1 species
UACGUAGGUGGCAAGCGUUGUCCGGAUUUAUUGGGCGUAAAGGGCGCGCAGGCGGUCCGUUAAGUCCGAGGUGAAAUCUCCCGGCUCAACUGGGAGGGGUCUUCGGAUACUGGCGGACUUGAGGGGUGCAGAGGUGAGUGGAAUUCUCGGUGUAGUGGUGAAAUGCGUAGAUAUCGAGAGGAACACCAGUGGCGAAGGCGGCUCACUGGGCACCACCUGACGCUGAGGCGCGAAAGCGUGGGGAGCGAACCGG